rnacentral:tRNA from 1 species
GGGGUUUAGCUCAGCUGGGAGAGCACCUGCCUUGCAAGCAGGGGGUCACGAGUUCGAAUCUCGUAAUCUCC